GAUGAACGCUGGCGGCGUGCCUAACACAUGCAAGUCGAGCGAUUCUCUUCGGAGAAGAGCGGCGGACGGGUGAGUAACGCGUGGGUAACCUGCCCUGUACACACGGAUAACAUACCGAAAGGUAUGCUAAUACGAGAUAAUAUGCUUUUAUCGCAUGGUAGAAGUAUCAAAGUUUUUGCGGUACAGGAUGGACCCGCGUCUGAUUAGCUAGUUGGUAAGGUAACGGCUUACCAAGGCGACGAUCAGUAGCCGACCUGAGAGGGUGAUCGGCCACAUUGGAACUGAGACACGGUCCAAACUCCUACGGGAGGCAGCAGUGGGGAAUAUUGCACAAUGGGCGAAAGCCUGAUGCAGCAACGCCGCGUGAGCGAUGAAGGCCUUCGGUCGUAAAGCUCUGUCCUCAAGGAAGAUAAUGACGGUACUUGAGGAGGAAGCCCCGGCUAACUACGUG
rnacentral:rRNA from 1 species